rnacentral:lncRNA from 1 species
AGCUACCGCACGUCGUAGAGCCAUUAUUUCCAUCUACAAAUCUGCCAUCACUUUGCCUUGAUCUUGUACCAGUGACAUCAAAGCAUCGUGUGAACUCAGAAGUUUUGCAGCACUUUCAUCAUGCUGGUUACGUAAUUGUACCAGUUUAUCCCUCAAGGUGUAGAUUUGUAUAAUCAAAUCAACAACGCCUUCAGUUUGUUUGAGUUUAUCCGUAAUACCAAUGAAAU